GAUGAACGCUGGCGGCGUGCUUAACACAUGCAAGUCGAACGGUGAAGCAGGAGCUUGCUCUUGUGGAUCAGUGGCGAACGGGUGAGUAACACGUGAGCAACCUGCCCCUGACUCUGGGAUAAGCGCUGGAAACGGCGUCUAAUACUGGAUAUGUGAUGUGACCGCAUGGUCUGCAUCUGGAAAGAAUUUCGGUUGGGGAUGGUCUCGCGUCCUAUCAGCUUGUUGGUGAGGUAAUGGCUCACCAAGGCGUCGCCGGGUAGCCGGCGUGAGAGGGUGACCGGCCACACUGGGACUGAGACACGGCCCAGACUCCUACGGGAGGCAGCAGUGGGGAAUAUUGCACAAUGGGCGGAAGCCUGAUGCAGCAACGCCGCGUGAGGGAUGACGGCGUUCGGGUUGUAAACCUCUUUUAGCAGGGAAGAAGCGAAAGUGACGGUACCUGCAGAAAAAGCACCGGCUAACUACGUGCCAGCCGCCGCCGUAA
rnacentral:rRNA from 1 species